rnacentral:rRNA from 1 species
UACGUAGGGUGCAAGCGUUAAUCGGAAUUACUGGGCGUAAAGCGUGCGCAGGCGGUUAUGUAAGACAGGUGUGAAAUCCCCGGGCUUAACCUGGGAACUGCAUUUGUGACUGCAUAGCUAGAGUACGGCAGAGGGGGAUGGAAUUCCGCGUGUAGCAGUGAAAUGCGUAGAUAUGCGGAGGAACACCGAUGGCGAAGGCAAUCCCCUGGGCCUGUACUGACGCUCAUGCACGAAAGCGUGGUGAGCAAACAGG